AUGCUGGCUGCUGUGCUUGCUCUUUUACCUGGUGUUGGGAUUGGAGCCUACAUUGCUCAGUGGCCUGAAAAAAUCAUUCUGAGACCUGGACACUCUUUGACCAUCUCCUGCUAUCAGAAUUACAGUAACCUUGCCUAUAUGUUCUGGUACCAGCAGCCUCCAAGAAAUGGCUUGAAGUUAAUAGUCAGCAGUAGUACAUGGAGUCAUAACUCUUAUGAGGAUGGUUACUCUGAGGCCAAGUUUGAAGUAACCAGACAGAAUACUGAUUACUCUCUGAUGACAAUCAAGAAUGUGACAGCCCAGGAUGCAGCCACGUAUUUCUGUGCUGCGAAUGAUCGCACGCUGCAAAAUGGUGUGAAUAAUGAGCAAUUGUUCUUUGGCAGUGGGACAAAACUUACGGUCAUAGGCGAGAAUGAUGAAAUCAUACCUCCAGCGGUGGCCAUCUUUUCCCCAUCAAAGCAGGAGAUCCAGCAGAAGAGCAAGGCCACGCUGGUGUGCCUGGCCUCUGGUUUCUACCCUGACCACCUGACUCUGGUCUGGAGGGUGAAUGGUGUGAAAAGGACCGAAGGGGUGGGGACAGACGAGUCCUCCACACAGAAUGGGAGCACCUACUCGCUGACCAGCCGACUGAGGAUGCCAGCCUGGGAGUGGUUCAACCCUCUGAAUCGCUUUGAGUGUGUUGCCAAUUUUUUUCAGAAUGGAACAACAGCCUCAAUAAACAAAUUUAUCCAUGGUGAUGCUGGUUGUGCACUCACAGAAG